AUUGAACGCUGGCGGCGGCCUAACACAUGCAAGUCGAACGGCAGCGGGGGAUAGCUUGCUAUCCUGCCGGCGAGUGGCGGACGGGUGAGUAAUGCAUGGGGAGCUGCCCAGUCGAGGGGGAUAACAACUGGAAACGGUUGCUAAUACCGCAUACGCCCUUUGGGGGAAAGGUGGGGAACUUCGGUCCUACCGCGAUUGGAUGCGCCCAUGUGGGAUUAGCUAGUUGGUGAGGUAACGGCUCACCAAGGCGACGAUCUCUAGCUGGUCUGAGAGGAUGACCAGCCACACUGGAACUGAGACACGGUCCAGACUCCUACGGGAGGCAGCAGUGGGGAAUAUUGCACAAUGGGGGAAACCCUGAUGCAGCCAUGCCGCGUGUGUGAAGAAGGCCUUCGGGUUGUAAAGCACUUUCAGUCAGGAGGAAGGGGUGAUGGCUAAUAUCCAUCAUCAUUGACGUUACUGACAGAAGAAGCACCGGCUAACUCCGUGCCAGCAGCCGCAGUAA
rnacentral:rRNA from 1 species